UCUUAUGUGUGAGCAAAGGAAGUGGUUUCUUAAAAUGGAAUCUACUCCUGGUGAAGAUGCUGUGAA
rnacentral:pre_miRNA from 1 species